rnacentral:piRNA from 1 species
UCCAGGCAUGGCCUCUCCUGGUACCCACUGU